rnacentral:rRNA from 1 species
CUUGCCUACGGGGGGCAGCAGUGGGGGAUAUUGCACAAUGGGGGAAACCCUGAUGCAGCGACGCCGCGUGGGUGAAGAAGCGCCUCGGCGCGUAAAGCCCUGUCAGCAGGGAAGAAAAUGACGGUACCUGAAGAAGAAGCCCCGGCUAACUGCGUGCCAGCAGCCGCGGUAAUACGUAGGGGGCAAGCGUUAUCCGGAUUUACUGGGUGUAAAGGGGGCGCAGACGGCGAUGCAAGCCAGGAGUGAAGGCCCGGGGCCCAACCCCGGGACUGCUCUUCGCACCGCGUGGCUAG